AGCGAACGCUGGCGGCAGGCCUAACACAUGCAAGUCGAACGGAUCCUUCGGGAUUAGUGGCGGACGGGUGAGUAACACGUGGGAACGUGCCCUUUGGUUCGGUACAACUCAGGGAAACUUGAGCUAAUACCGGAUGUGCCCUUCGGGGGAAAGAUUUAUCGCCAUUGGAGCGGCCCGCGUCUGAUUAGCUAGUUGGUGAGGUAAAGGCUCACCAAGGCGACGAUCAGUAGCUGGUCUGAGAGGAUGAUCAGCCACAUUGGGACUGAGACACGGCCCAAACUCCUACGGGAGGCAGCAGUGGGGAAUCUUGCGCAAUGGGCGAAAGCCUGACGCAGCCAUGCCGCGUGAAUGAUGAAGGUCUUAGGAUUGUAAAAUUCUUUCACCGGGGACGAUAAUGACGGUACCCGGAGAAGAAGCUCCGGCUAACUUCGUGCCAGCAGCCGCCGUAAAAC
rnacentral:rRNA from 1 species